UACGGAGGGAGCUAGCGUUGUUCGGAAUUACUGGGCGUAAAGCGCGCGUAGGCGGCUUUGUAAGUUAGAGGUGAAAGCCCGGAGCUCAACUCCGGAACUGCCUUUAAAACUGCAUCGCUUGAAUCCAGGAGAGGUGAGUGGAAUUCCGAGUGUAGAGGUGAAAUUCGUAGAUAUUCGGAAGAACACCAGUGCGAAGGCGGCUCACUGGACUGGUAUUGACGCUGAGGUGGCGAA
rnacentral:rRNA from 1 species